CAAAAACAUAGCUGUGUGAUAUUACUCACAGUAUUUUCUGCUCAAUGAGUUUUUAAAUAGCCGCAGUACCUUGACUGUGCAAAGGUAGCGUAAUCAGUUGUCUUCUAAUUAAAGUCUCGUAUGAAAGAAUAUAUGGGGGCCCACUUUACCAGUGGCAGGAAAUGAAAUUGAUAAGUGAGUGCAAACGCUCAUAUUACGUAAAAGACGAGAAGACCCUAGAAAUUUUUACGUUGGUUUUUGUUGGGGCAACAUAGUAACAAGUAAUUUACUAUAUGUAUAUGAAAUAUUUUAGGGAGCUUAAAUUACUCUAGGGAUAACAGCAUAAUUUAAAAAAGUUUGUGACCUCGAUGUUGGAUUAGGAAGUUAUAGCUUAAAAGGUUGUUAAUUUUGCUCUGUUCGA
rnacentral:rRNA from 1 species